rnacentral:miRNA from 10 species
AGACUUUUCAGGUAGUUCACA